AUGUUUCCGAACAUGCUCCCAAACAUGUUCAAUUUAUCCGCCCUAGGACAGGCUACUCGACAUGCUCGGCGUGUUUACCUCGGUGGAGUUCCUCCAAUCGCUAAUGAACAGGCGGUUGCUCUAUUCUUCAAUCAAGUUAUGGCCGCUAUUGGGGGAGACACAUUUGAUCCAGGUGAUGCAGUUCUUAGUAUGAAGCUGAUUUUUGAAUUCAUACAAAACAUCUUAGGUGGCAUAAUCAUCUAA
rnacentral:rRNA from 1 species